UGGGGAAUAUUGCGCAAUGGGCGAAAGCCUGACGCAGCCAUGCCGCGUGUGUGAAGAAGGCCUUAGGGUUGUAAAGCACUUUCAAUUGGGAAGAAAAGUUGGUCGUUAAUAGCGGCCAGCCCUGACAUUACCUUUAGAAGAAGCACCGGCUAACUCCGUGCCAGCAGCCGCGGUAAUACGGAGGGUGCGAGCGUUAAUCGGAAUUACUGGGCGUAAAGCGCGCGUAGGCGGUUGUUUAAGUCGGAUGUGAAAGCCCCGGGCUCAACCUGGGAACUGCAUUCGAUACUGGGCGACUAGAGUAUGAAAGAGGGAGGUAGAAUUCCAUGUGUAGCGGUGAAAUGCGUAGAUAUAUGGAGGAAUACCAGUGGCGAAGGCGGCCUCCUGGUUCAAUACUGACGCUGAGGUGCGAAAGCGUGGGGAUCAA
rnacentral:rRNA from 1 species